AAAUUGAAGAGUUUGAUCAUGGCUCAGAUUGAACGCUGGCGGCAGGCCUAACACAUGCAAGUCGAGCGGAAACGAGUUAUCWGAACCUUCGGGGRACGAUAACGGCGUCGAGCGGCGGACGGGUGAGUAAUGCCUAGGAAAUUGCCCUGAUGUGGGGGAUAACCAUUGGAAACGAUGGCUAAUACCGCAUGAUGCCUACGGGCCAAAGAGGGGGACCUUCGGGCCUCUCGCGUCAGGAUAUGCCUAGGUGGGAUUAG
rnacentral:rRNA from 1 species